GAUGAACGCUGACAGAAUGCUUAACACAUGCAAGUCUACUUGAACUUCGGUUUGGGUGGCGGACGGGUGAGUAACGCGUAAAGAACUUGCCUCACAGACUGGGACAACAUUUGGAAACGAAUGCUAAUACCGGAUAUUAUGAGAUAUGCGCAUGCAUAACUCAUGAAAGCUAUAUGCGCUGUGAGAGAGCUUUGCGUCCCAUUAGCUAGUUGGAGAGGUAACGGCUCACCAAGGCGAUGAUGGGUAGCCGGCCUGAGAGGGUGAACGGCCACAAGGGGACUGAGACACGGCCCUU
rnacentral:rRNA from 1 species